AUCUUCCUACGGGACGCAGCAGUGAGGAAUAUUGGUCAAUGGUCGGGAGACUGAACCAGCCAAGCCGCGUGAGGGAGGAAGGUACAGAGUAUCGUAAACCCCUUUUGUCAGGGAACAAAGACUGGGACGCGUCCCCGGAUGAGUGUACCUGAAGAAAAAGCAUCGGCUAACUCCGUGCCAGCAGCCGCGGUAAUACGGAGGAUGCGAGCGUUAUCCGGAUUUAUUGGGUUUAAAGGGUGCGCAGGCGGUCUGUUAAGUCAGCGGUCAAAGCCCGGGGCUCAACCCCGGCCCGCCGUUGAAACUGG
rnacentral:rRNA from 1 species